rfam:Oryza rufipogon genomic scaffold, chr03
AAUAAGUGUAGUUUUACACUAUUCACGUUUAACGUUUGACUGUUCUUCUUAUUUGAAAUUUUCUUAUGAUUAGCAUUUCUAUUGCUAUUAGAUGAUAAAAUAUGAAUAGUACUUUAUGUGUGACUAAAUAUUUUUAAUUUUUUCAUAAAAUUUUUAAAUAAGACGGACGGUCAAACAUUGGACACAGAUAUCCACAGCUGCACUUAUU